UACGUAGGGUGCGAGCGUUGUCCGGAAUUAUUGGGCGUAAAGAGCUCGUAGGCGGUCUGUCGCGUCGAAUGUGAAAACCCGGGGCUCAACUCCGGGCUUGCAUUCGAUACGGGCAGGCUAGAGUUCGGUAGGGGAGUCUGGAAUUCCUGGUGUAGCGGUGAAAUGCGCAGAUAUCGGGAGGAACACCGGUGGCGAAGGCGGUUCUCUGGGCCUUACCUGACGCUGAGGAGCGAAGGUCAGGGGAGCAAACGGG
rnacentral:rRNA from 1 species